rnacentral:rRNA from 1 species
CCUAUGGGGGACAGCAGUGGGGAAUAUUGCACAAUGGGGGAAACCCUGAUGCAGCGACGCCGCGUGAGUGAAGAAGUAUUUCGGUAUGUAAAGCUCUAUCAGCAGGGAAGAAAAUGACGGUACCUGAUUAAGAAGCCCCGGCUAACUACGUGCCAGCAGCCGCGGUAAUACGUAGGGGGCAAGCGUUAUCCGGAUUUACUGGGUGUAAAGGGAGCGUAGACGGCAGCACAAGUCUGGAGUGAAAUGCCGGGGCUUAACCCCGGAACUGCUUUGGAAACUGUGCAGCUAGAGUGCAGGAGAGGUAAGUGGAAUUCCUGGUGCAGCGGUGAAAUGCGUAGAUAUCAGGAGGAACACCGGCGGCGAAGGCGGCCUGCUGGACCGCGACUGACGUUGAGGCUCGAAAGCGUGGGGAGCGAACAGGAUUAGAUACCCUUGUAGUC